rnacentral:rRNA from 1 species
UACGUAGGGUGCGAGCGUUGUCCGGAAUCAUUGGGCGUAAAGCGCGUGUAGGCGGCUCGAUAAGUCUGCUGUGAAAGUCCAGGGCUCAACCCUGGGAUGCCGGUGGAUACUGUCGAGCUCGAGUCCGGAAGAGGCGAGUGGAAUUCCUGGUGUAGCGGUGAAAUGCGCAGAUAUCAGGAGGAACACCAAUAGCGAAGGCAGCUCGCUGGGACGUGACUGACGCUGAGACGCGAAAGCGUGGGGAGCAAACAGG